rnacentral:rRNA from 1 species
AUUGAACGCUGGCGACAGGCCUAACACAUGCAAGUCGAGCGGAUGAAGGGAGCUUGCUCCUGGAUUCAGCGGCGGACGGGUGAGUAAUGCCUAGGAAUCUGCCUGGUAGUGGGGGAUUACGUCCGGAAACGGGCGCUAAUACCGCAUACGUCCUGAGGGAGAAAGUGGGGGAUCUUCGGACCUCACGCUAUCAGAUGAGCCUAGGUCGGAUUAGCUAGUUGGUGGGGUAAAGGCCUACCAAGGCGACGAUCCGUAACUGGUCUGAGAGGAUGAUCAGUCACACUGGAACUGAGACACGGUCCAGACUCCUACGGGAGGCAGCAGUGGGGAAUAUUGGACAAUGGGCGAAAGCCUGAUCCAGCCAUGCCGCGUGUGUGAAGAAGGUCUUCGGAUUGUAAAGCACUUUAAGUUGGGAGGAAGGGCAGUAAGUUAAUACCUUGCUGUUUUGACGUUACCAACAGAAUAAGCACCGGCUAACUUCGUG